GGAUGUGAGGGCGAUCUGGCUGCGACAUCUGUCACCCCAUUGAUCGCCAGGGUUGAUUCGGCUGAUCUGGCUGGCUAGGCGGGUGUCCCCUUCCUCCCUCACCACUCCAUGUGCGUCCCUCCCGAAGCUGCGCGCUCGGUCGAAGAGGACGACCUUCCCCGAUAGAGGAGGACCGUUCUUCGGUCAAGGGUAUAGGAGUAGCUGCGCUCCCCUGCUAGAACCUCCAAACAAGCUCUCAAGAAAGCAGGGGUAGCUAUACUUCUACCAGGCGAAAUAGACUUUAAGCCAAAAACU
ensembl:misc_RNA 7SK 7SK RNA